rnacentral:rRNA from 1 species
GGUGGAGCGAUUUGUCUGGUUAAUUCCGAUAACGAACGAGACUCUAGCCUACUAAAUAGUAACUGAAUUUUUAGUUCAGUGUACUUCUUAGAGGGACAAGGGGUAUCUAGCCCCACGAGAUUGAGCAAUAACAGGUCUGUGAUGCCCUUAGAUGUCCGGGGCUGCACGCGCGCUACACUGAAGGAGUCAACAUGCAUUGAAACCUAGUCUGGAAAGAUUGGGUAACCCAAUGAAACUCCUUCGUGAUUGGGAUAGGGAAUUGUAAUUAUUUCCCUUGAACGAGGAAUUCCUAGUAAAUGCGGGUCAUCAUCUCGCGUUGAAUACGUCCCUGCCCUUUGUAC